rnacentral:rRNA from 1 species
AGGACAAACGCUGGCGGGGUGCAUGAGACAUGCAAGUCGAACGAGGUGCUAUCGGGCUUGCUCGAUGGUUACCGAGUGGCGAACGGCUGAGUAACGCGUAGAUGACCUGCCCGGAAGUGGGGAAUAACUGCCCGAAAGGGUGGCUAAUACCGCAUGUGGUCGACGAUUCGGUUCGUCGUCUAAAGGAGUAAUCCGCUUCCGGAGGGGUCUGCGUCCGAUUAGCUAGUUGGUGGGGUAACGGCUCACCAAGGCGACGAUCGGUAGCUGGUCUGAGAGGAUGAUCAGCCAGACUGGGGACUGAGAACGGCCCAGACUCCUACGGGAGGCAGCAGUCGGGAAUUUUGCCCAAUGGACGAAAGUCUGAGGCAGCAACUCCGCGUGAGGGAUGAAGGCUCUAGGGUCGUAAACCUCUUUUCUCAGGGAAGAUCCAAGACGGUACCUGAGGAAUAAGCGACGGCUAACUACGUGCCAGCAGCCGC